CCUUUGUUUUCUUCUUUCAAGUUCGUUGAUAGCAGCAGAAAAUAUCUUUUGCUUAAAUUAAUCAAUAGUACCAGCAAGUAUUUGAUUUAUUUUUUUAAAAUUUUCACAGUAGCAGCAAUCGAUUCUCCUCCUCUUCAAAUUAAUGAAGUGCUACAGAAACUUGUUCCUUCUUUAAAUUUCAACGUAGUGCGGUAGUAACCUAAUAAAGGUUCCUUUUAUGAAAUUUCCUCAAAUUCUCUCAAAUCCAUCCAAGAUCAAGUAUAGCUUUAUUCCUUCGUCGAUUUCAUGAUUAUAAUUUCGGUCCCCUCCGAAUCUUAGCAAUUUCGGGAUUACUUUGUGUUGAAGUUGAAGCUUUCUUCUAGGUGAAGUAUCCUAAGAUUAAGGAUUUUCUUGUGUGAUUGAGGCUAAAGGAGCGACGAGGCGAAAGGGAUUCACGAAUAAGCGCUAAAGGUACAGACGCACAGUUCGGUGAUCCCCCAGUUUAGGAUAUCCCCUUCAGCUAUUUGGAGUGCUCUUCUCAUUUCAGAGCAUAC